UUUUAAUUAAUAUUUAUAGUAGGUUACUGCACCAAUAAAUAUAAAUUAAAAAGUGGUGUACAGGUGAGUAUAAAGAUAUAAUUCGCCGACCUUAAAGAGAAGGUAAAUCCUUCAUAAUAAAUAAAAGGAUUAUUAUCCUGCUUUAAGAGGAAGAUAAAUAUCUUCGGGAUAGGUAGUAGUUAAGGUGAUGACUUAACUAGCCUACAACUCUCGUAGUCGUAACUGAAAGGUUGAUCGACCACAUUGGGUCUGAAAAAACCCCAAUGCAUAUUAGUACAGCAGUGAGGAAUAUUGGUCAAUGGCCUAACGGCUGAACUGGCAACUUGGAAAAGUGAUAAGUCCUAUUUUGAUUAUGGCUAUGAAAUAUAGCUACUAAAAUGAUCUUUAGGAUUGUAUUAAAGUAGAAUAAAACUUUGUUUAUAUAUUGAUAAUGACAAUAUAUAUAUUUCGUCUUGACUAAUUACGUGCCAGCAGUCGCGGUAAUACGUAAAAGACUAGUAUUAUUCAUCUUAAUUAGGUUUAAAGGGUACCUAGACGGUCAACAUAACUUAUAUAAUGUUAGUACUUGACUAGAGUUUAUAUAUGAGAGGGGAGUACUUUAGGUGGAGAGUCGAUAUUCUAUGAUACCAAGGGGACUCGGUGACGGCGAAGGCGCCCCUUUAGGUAAAAACUGACGUUGAGGGACGAAGGCUUAGAACACAAACAGGAUUAGAUACCCCAGUAGUCUUAGCAGUAAACGAUGAAUGCCAUAGAUUAGAUUAAAUAUUUAGUAAUCAAUAAGAUAAGCUAUAUUUAUAGCUUACUAGAAACGACUAAAUAUUGUUUGGUUUAAAAAUGAAAGUGUAAGCAUUCCACCUCAAGAGUAAUGUGGCAACGCAGGAACUGAAAUCACUAGACCGUUUCUGACCCCAGUAGUGAAGUAUGUUGUUUAAUUCGAUGACCCUCGAAAAACCUUACCACAGUUUGUAUAAUUACAGGUGUUGCACGGCUGUUUCCAGUUAAUGUUGUAAAACUAUGGUUUCCAUUAAAUUAACGUAAUCCCUGACUUUAUUUUUCAUUAUGAUGAUUAGUUUGCUAUGAAAUAAUAAAGCUAAAGCUUUAGUUUGCUAUGAAAUAAUCUAUCUCGUUACGAUAAAGUAUUAAAUCUUAAAAAUGAAGAUAAAAAAAGGGGACAAAGACAAGUCAUCAUGGCCCUGAUAUUGUGGGCUAUAGACGUGCCACAUAUUCCUAUACAAAGAGAUGCAAAAAUGUGAAUUUAAGCUAAUCUCAAAAAAUAGGAUAUAAUUUUAAGGAUUGUAGUCUGAAAUUCGACUAUAUGAAUAAGUAAUUACUAGUAAUCGUGUAUCAUUACGGCACGGUGAAUAUACUUCGGAUUGGUACUAAUAACUCGUCACAUGCUGAAAAGAACUUAUGCAAUAAGUUUGCUUACUUAAUAAUUAGUAAAAAAAACGUGUAGGUUUUGUCAAUAUAAAAAUAUUUUCUCCCGGUAUUUUUAUAUGUCUAUUAUUAAGUAUCUUCGUAUGCAAGGUUCUAAUUAGUGUU
rnacentral:rRNA from 1 species